UACGUAGGUCCCGAGCGUUGUCCGGAUUUAUUGGGCGUAAAGCGAGCGCAGGUGGUUUAUUAAGUCUGGUGUAAAAGGCAGUGGCUCAACCAUUGUAUGCAUUGGAAACUGGUUGACUUGAGUGCAGGAGAGGAGAGUGGAAUUCCAUGUGUAGCGGUGAAAUGCGUAGAUAUAUGGAGGAACACCGGUGGCGAAAGCGGCUCUCUGGCCUGUAACUGACACUGAGGCUCGAAAGCGUGGGGAGCAAACAGG
rnacentral:rRNA from 1 species